GAUGAACGCUGGCGGCGUGCCUAACACAUGCAAGUCGAGCGGUAUAUACUUAAACAAAUCUUCGGAAGAGUGAGAGUAUAGAGAGCGGCGGACGGGUGAGUAACGCGUAGGCAACCUGCCCCAUACAGAGGGAUAGCCUCGGGAAACCGGGAUUAAAACCUCAUAACGCGAGAGAGUCACAUGGCUUUUUCGCCAAAGAUUUAUCGGUAUGGGGUGGGCCUGCGUCUGAUUAGCUAGUUGGUGGGGUAACGGCCUACCAAGGCAACGAUUAGGAGCCGACCGGAGAGGGUAAUCGGCAACAUUGGAACGGAGACACGGUCCAAACUCCUACGGGAGGCAGCAGUGGGGAAUAUUGCACAAUGGGCGAAAGCCUGAUGCAGCAACGCCGCGUGAGCGAUGAAGGCCUUUGGGUCGUAAAGCUCUGUCCUUGGGGAAGAAUAAAUGACGGUACCCUUGGAGGAAGCCCCGGCUAACUACGUGCCAGCCGCCGCGGUAA
rnacentral:rRNA from 1 species